rnacentral:tRNA from 1 species
AGCAGUGUGGUGUGGUGGCUAGAACAUGAGCCUGGGAGUCUGAAGGAUCUGGGUUCUAAUCCCAGCUCUGCCA